GGGCCCGCACAAGCGGUGGAGUAUGUGGCUUAAUUCGAUGCAACGCGAAGAACCUUACCAGGGUUUGACAUCCUGCGAAUCUCUUGGAAACGAGAGAGUGCCUUCGGGAGCGCAGUGACAGGUGGUGCAUGGCUGUCGUCAGCUCGUGUCGUGAGAUGUUGGGUUAAGUCCCGCAACGAGCGCAACCCACGUCUUUAGUUGCCAGCAUUUAGUUGGGCACUCUAGCGAGACCGCCGGUGAUAAACCGGAGGAAGGUGUGGAUGACGUCAAGUCAUCAUGCCCCUUACAUCCUGGGCUACACACGUACUACAAUGCUACGGACAAAGGGCAGCAAACUCGCGAGAGCUAGCAAAUCCAUAACCGUGGCUCAGUUCAGAUCGUAGGCUGCAACUCGCCUACGUGAAGGAGGAAUCGCUAG
rnacentral:rRNA from 1 species